CGGUCUGUCUCUGUCUACUGCGUCUCCCUCCCACUCCGCUGGUCUCCCACAGUUCCUAGGAGGCGUGCUGCCGGUUGGACAGGGCCCGGCCGCCGAGGACCGUGUCCUGCUGCUUGCCUUUCUCCUGCAGGGCUUGCUUCUGGAGAGCCUGUCGCUCCAGGGCGGCCUGCAGCUCCGCCACGGCUGCCUCCUGGUCCCGCAGACGUCUGGCGGCCGUGAAGGGGCUGCACACAGUCUCCAUCAGGCCGAGCACCACGCCGAAGAGGGCCAGCACGCUGCCCAGCACGUACAGCUUCACCAUCUUCCCCUUGCGCUUCUGGGCCAUCAUCUCCUUGGCCAGGGGGAUCAGCUCCUGGACCGUUUCCAUCUCGGCUCUGGGCUCUCGGAGGCGGGAAUGACCUGCAGGAGGAGCAGCAGGAGAGGGGCUUCAGCCACCAAAGAACGGCUCCCACCACCCCGCACCCAGCUAAUCUUGGGGAGGGCUCAUAGAAAGGCGGACUACCUUAGUGGCACGGCGCGAGCAGGAGGCAGCGCGAGCUGCAGUUGGCAGCGGUCAGCGCGUCCGUUGGUCCGACCGACCUCAGCGUUCUCCUCCUCUCGGCAGCUGCAGCUCUCCCAGUUGGAGACUCCGCCGCUGGCACCGCUUUAGCGUCCGGGGGCCGCUUAUAUCUUUUCUCUGAGACACGCCUCCUGGGCUCUCCGGCCCAGGCCAGCGCGGUCAGAGCCAGGGGAACUCGGAGGGGGAGGAAGAAGAGGAGGGGAAAAGGAGGGGGUGGAACCCGGCUGGGACCUGGCAGGAGGUGGCCACGCGCUGAGCACGCUCCGACUGUCUGGACCCUGGGUACCUGGCUGAAGACUUUGGACUUUAACCUGGAGAUGAUGGAGAGUAUGCAGGAUAAAGUCCAUACCAAAUCCAACGCCUAGCAAAUGGAGAACAAGCCAAAACUAACAAGAUAAAAUGUAGCAGGAAAAAGUGCAAAGAGCUGAAGUGUGGAAUAAGUGGGAGAGGUCUGCCAUGCCCUAUCUGACCUUGCUGCCAUGAUCUUUAAGGCUGUGUGUCCUGGUUGGUGCAGCUACAAGAUGGCAGAAAUGCCUAAGUGAUGGUAUGGAACAGAGGAUCCCUCUUCUCACCAUUGUCUUGCAUGUUUCCUUGUGUGAACCACAAAUAAACUUUUGUUAUGUUAAGCUGCUGAGA
rnacentral:lncRNA from 1 species